CUUCCACCUGCAAUGCAACUUUAAAAAAUUGCCAUUUGAAGGGAAGCGUUAACUGAAUUAUCAUUUCGUUAGCUGAAGGCUGCUGAUAGACAAUUAUUGGGACUAAAAUUCUUUAGUUACAGAACAGGCACAGCAUAAUCAGUGGCUAUGCAAACAUCCUCCAGACUGCCUUGGUGAUAUAUAUCAGGUGUAUUCUGCAAUGAGAUGCUAGCUCAGUGCUGGGCCCUGAGAGACAUAAGUUAUACUAACAUAAGUACUAAUGAUUAUAGAUUGAUUAGACAGCUUGAGCUUUUCCAGGAUUGAGGACUAACUGAAUAAUUGUGUUUUAAAGAAUCUGCUUAUUGUAUAUUUCUGCAUUUUUAUCUAAUUUAUAGUAAUAUGUCUUUUAAAUAAGACAUCCAGAGAGUUGCUGCUAUAUUUAAUGGCUGUACCAGGUGGGUAGACUCUCAGUUUAUCACCAGCCCCACACAUUUAGAUUUCAACUUGAUGUGACACUGACAUGUCCUGGUGUUUUUUAUUUUAUUUUAUUUUUAUUUUUUGGUGUGUGUAUGUAAAUCCUGGGUCCAUCAGCCAAAACCUGUGGCAAAUUAAUGCAAAUUACAGGAAUUCACACUGUAGGUUUUGCAAAGUACGCAGGGAACUCAGUAGAUAUGAAAAUUAUAUUGGAUGGAAGAUCCAACACAUUUAUGAUUUGGGUGGUGUGUUUAAGUCCUAAA